UGGGGAAUAUUGCGCAAUGGGCGAAAGCCUGACGCAGCGACGCCGCGUGAAGGAUGAAGGUCUUCGGAUUGUAAACUUCUGUUAAGGGUGAAGAAAACUUUGCUAGUAAUAUGAGCAGAGAAUGACGGUAGCCCUAAAGAAAGCACCGGCUAACUUCGUGCCAGCAGCCGCGGUAAUACGAAGGGUGCAAGCGUUAUUCGGAAUGAUUGGGCGUAAAGGGUGCGUAGGCGGUAUGUUAAGUCUGUUGUUAAAUUCUUCAGCCUAACUGGAGACAUGCGACGGAAACUGGCGUGCUAGAGGAUGGAAGAGAGAAGUGGAAUUCUCGGAGUAGCGGUAAAAUGCUUAGAUCUCGAGAGGAACACCGAUGGCGAAGGCAGCUUCUUGGUCCAUUCCUGGCGCUGAGGCACGAAAGCGUGGGGAGCAAACAGG
rnacentral:rRNA from 1 species